rnacentral:lncRNA from 1 species
AAAAUUUAUUUCCCCUUCAUAGCUUCCCUCCUUUCUUUUAUGUUUGACAACCAGAAUUUGCUCCUAGAUACGUAGAAAGAAUUUCAGAGGAACCUUUGACUUGUUUAGCGUUUCUAGUUUGUGAAAGACACAGAAGGAAGAAAACUUUUUUUAACCUUUGUUUCUUUUCAAGCGCUUAUUGUUAUUUCUCAUUUAUUUUGUACCUAAUGGAAUAUGUGGUGCCAGUCCUCUAAGAUAGUAGGUGGGGGCGGUGAGCACAGUGGGGCCUGCGGGGGUGUCUGGGGCUC